UUGUAAAUCUAAUAAUAGUUAAACUUGUAAAUGUCCAUAAAGUUGGUGAAGCAGUUGAGCUUUGGUUUAUUGUGCACUCCUAGUCACGGGCCGGCUUCAGCACCCUACACCUCGUUCCAGCUUUACCCCGUGCGCACGGCCCUUUUCUCCGCCCAUUACAUGUUCGACACAAUGCCUCCCCGGGACAGCGGCCUCCGCCUCGUCAGCCACCGCCAGCCCGGACAUAUAGGUCUGCCGCCGCUUCCUGCGGCGCCAUCCACGCGCAUCGUCUGCCGCUCACGGCUCUCCAUAGCCUGUAGGUCCGUUCGUUCAUUUUUCUCUCUUCCGAGCGCCUGUCUGUCAAGAUUACGGGGCAAGGCGCGGCACGAGCGCGGCGUUUACACGGCUGCUUCGCUGGUAACUGGCUGGUGUUCUUGAUUGGCGGAGGUUGCUGGUCCGUGAGAAGGAUGAGUCACGCUCACGCCCCAUCACUUUUGCCAAUUUCUUGGAGGUUAAAGCUGGGACAGGUCAACAUGAGGUCAUCUGCAUGCUGCCUCGGAAUGUAAGCAGGCAGGUGCCUGAGAAAACUUUAGAAACAAGGUCUGACUAUUCCUGAUUUCUGUCAGCAUCAUAUUAUGGAAUUUUCAUGUCGGUCUGAUGACCAUUUAAUCAGUUUUAGUUUAAUGUUUGUCUGCAUCUGAAAGUGACAUUGCAACAGCAAGUAGGAUGGAAAAGGUUAGACUUAUGACCAACACCCGACGGGUCGUUUCGGCUUAUGUAUAUAUAUUAAUUAUUAUAUUACAGGUAAAUUGCAUGCUAUGUGGGGUCAUCAGUCUCAGCAAUUUGUGUGUGUGCGUGUGUGUGUUUUUGCAUUCUUUUCUCAUGUUUUGAAUGGUUCUAACCUUCCAACAGCUUGCACAUGCAAGCACUAUGAUCAAAUUUGUCACUUGUCAUCAGCUGUAACUAUUGUUGGAACUUGCCCUUGGUUAAUGAAAUCAAUCUUGUUCAGCCUAAUGCAGCAGAGGACUUGCUCAGGGAGCUCCUCUUGCUUCUGGGCCUGCAAGAUCGUAAUAAUGAAUUAAAAUUCAAACGGAUUGAAUAUAAGAUAUUUCAAGAGUACCAUCAGAUAACUGCAAUGUUAGUUAUUCAUGUGUGCGAUGCAGUUUUUGGUGGAAAAUUUUCCUAUGGAAAAAUUUGUGAACUCUGUGAUUAACAAUAUUUGAUGGAUUUGUCUCACAUGUGAAGAAGAUAAUAAAUCAACACAUAAGCACAUCAAUUAGUAUGCAAAUAAAUAUGAAAACUGAAGAAGUCUGAUAGCUGCAUAUUUGUUGGAGAAUCUAAAGGGAGAUUUACCUGAAUUGUCAAACCCAAAUCGAGGAUGCCGUUCUUUAGGCGUUCCCUGAAUGAUUCCAGUCCCUUUCUAGCGAUGUAGCUGAACCGGUGUAUAUCAAGGUCUAUCUCAAAGUAGUUCUCUUCCUGGUGAGGUAAGAGAUGAAACAUUAACUGGUGGUAGUAUUCUAAGUUGUUCUGUGUACUAAAUUGUGAAAGCAUGUCUAACAUAUUGAAAUGAUCUUCUAGACUUUAGGGUAAAUUUGUUUCAGUUUAAUGAAGCAAAAGGAUUUUCUUCCUUUUCUCAAGAAAAUGGAUGGAUAUAAAGUUGAUAUUGCAGUAUCCAAUAUGCUCUUAUGCAACCAAUAGAUGUUCAUCAAUGUCUCUAUGUCAUGAGUUGAUACUACCACGUAAUUUUACAAUCUGAUAACCACCUAAUGAUUUGAAUUGUGUUAUUUUCUAAUUCAAACAAGGAAAAUCACUUAUUUACCUCAUAGAAAUUAUGUUGGGGUCGUGACAGGACUGGCUUCUCAUUGUAUGCCUGGACAAGCUUCCUCUCCGUGGAACUCAACUGAAGGUCAUCUGGGUUGACCAAUCCAGCCAUGAUUUUCAAUCGAUCUCUGUAAGAGAUGGUAGAUUCUGAUGCAAACCCUUUUACCUUCUCAGAUUCAUUGUCAAAAAAUUUCUGUAGUCAGAAAGAUUCUAUUAGCUCAUAGAAAAUAAUUUUGUUUGGGGAGUACAAAAUGGUGGUGAAAUGAAAAGGCUAACCAUGAUAGAUUCCUUGAAAUGUUCCAAAACCUCCUUGUCAAAGUACUCAGAUAUCCUGAAGUACAAGACGAGGCUCAAACCUUCUCGGUCGCUGUUGCCGAGGAACAUAGCAGCAGGAUAGGAGAGUACCUGGAUGUUAACAAUCAAAAGUGAUGGGAGCUUGUGGUGUGUUUUGACUUGUGGAAGAUCAAUGUGCUGAGCGAUGUGUUGAACCUUCUUGGGGCAGGCAAACAAGUCCACACCGAUUGGAUAAUAAGCAGCAUAAUUUGGAGCUGCACAUUUUUUCUUGUCCCUGAAAAGAUCAAAAUAAGAGGUUAGGUACUGUUCAACAGAUAAUGUCAUGGGCACACCACGGCAUAUGUCUCCGAUGCGAGUGAGUGCGUCGGCAAAACGGGAAGUGCUCUCAUAUUGCUCCUUUUGGUUCUCUUCGUCCGUGGAUGGUGAACUAUCUGCAGAAGAAUUCAAAUCUUCAGCAUUACAGUUACAGCUUCCCAAGACAUCAAUUUGCACAGCGACCAUUCGUAAUUCGUAAAUGGUCAAAUUUUUAAUAUUCUCACCUCCAUUGACACUCUUGAAUUCAUCAUCAGAAUCAUCUUCAAGAAUACUGACAGAGUCAAACCAGGCAUCUUCAUUGCUGCAACCUACAACAGUAUGAGAAAAUUUGGUUGAUCCAUUGCCUCUUACUUGUCAGCUUAAAGUAAAUUCUACCUUUAGGGUCCCUCUGGCUGUGGUGCCACUGCAUCUGCCUAAGGUGGAAUGUCUUGGAAUGCUCUGACUUUCCAUGGUUUGCUGUCUCGACAUGGACAAUCUCACUCAUUGAGAAGCCGGUCAUGCGUCCUCUGGAACCGCUCAACUGUGACUUUGGUGCCUCUGGCAUGAUGGAUCGGGAACGGCUGCGGCCUCGUCGUCCUCUGGUGUAAUACCUCGCUGGCCUCCUCUGUUCAAGAGCAGACUUGGAAGCACAGGAACCCAUGGUGAUGGAUACUUGUUUGUGUAUGCCGCUUCUGAUAUCUUGGAUACUCUUUAGAGGUAUUUUACCUUCAGAGACCCUAUACAGUGUGGAGGUAGAAAUGAAGGCCUAAUCUGCAAGCACAAGAACCUAUGUUUGAUGUAUGUUUCCAGCAAGCUUUCAAAGGAUCUGCAUGCGGAGGGUGGGGGAUGUAGUGAUUUCAAAAGAUCUGCAAACUUUGAACAAAGAGCACUUGCAGCUAAACAGAUAAAAGUGAGGGAAUGUACCAAGAAACUUGAUAAGCAGAUUGCAGAAUUACCAGAUUGCAUGCAACAAAUGCAAAUGGUGUACACAAAGCAAGAGACUUGCAAAGAGAGGGCAAUGGAGAAGCCAGCAGCUGUUCUGCUACAUAAUGGUGUAAAUUCAUGAUUAAUUAACUAGUUUGGAGAGCAUGUACUGGUUGGUUGGUUGGCAUUCUGCAUUAUAGGCAUUAUCUUAGGCUACAAAUCAUCUAUUUUUUCCUGGGCAGGGAAUUUUUUCGGCAGGCUGGGGGACCACUUUGAACUUCAGGGAAGCUUCUUUUUCAGUUGUUUGGUUUGCAGAACGAAGAAAGAUCUUCCAGUUGAGAAAAGAUAUGUUUAAGCAGGUCUGUCUUGUACUGUAGGUAGGGGGAUGCUAUGCAAUCAAUGCACAGAUGAUGCCGUGUUUCCCAGGGGUUGUAAGGGUAUCUGCAUAUGUUGAAGGAUUUGUAAGGUCAAUGAGAAGCAAAUCUAUGAGAAUAAUCUGUAGGACAGCCAGCAAUGAGCUGGGAGAAUCGUCCGGUGAACAAACGAAUUGUAAGUUGAACAAAUUUACAAGGUAACCACAUAUUUUGGUUAGACUUCUAUAAUGAAGGAAAAUUAAUGUUA